UACGUAGGGGGCAAGCGUUGUCCGGAAUCAUUGGGCGUAAAGAGCGUGUAGGCGGCCCGAUAAGUCCGCUGUGAAAGUCCAGGGCUCAACCCUGGGAUGCCGGUGGAUACUGUCGGGCUCGAGUCCGGAAGAGGAGUGUGGAAUUCCUGGUGUAGCGGUGAAAUGCGCAGAUAUCAGGAAGAACACCAAUGGCGAAGGCAGCUCGCUGGGACGUUACUGACGCUGAGACGCGAAAGCGUGGGGAGCAAACAGG
rnacentral:rRNA from 1 species